rnacentral:rRNA from 1 species
GAGUUUGAUCCUGGCUCAGGACGAACGCUGGCGGCGUGCCUAAUACAUGCAAGUCGAGCGAACCAAUUGAAAGCCUAGCUUUCAUGAGGUUAGCGGCGGACGGGUGAGUAACAUGUGGGUAACCUGCCCUAUAGACUGGGAUAACUCGCGGAAACGCGUGCUAAUACUGGAUAACACAUCAGGGUGCAUGCUUUGGUGUUGAAAGAUGGUUCUGCUAUCACUAUAGGAUGGGCCCGCGGCGCAUUAGCUUGUUGGUGGGGUAACGGCCUACCAAGGCGACGAUGCGUAGCCGACCUGAGAGGGUGAUCGGCCACACUGGGACUGAGACACGGCCCAGACUCCUACGGGAGGCAGCAGUAGGGAAUCUUCCACAAUGGGCGAAAGCCUGAUGGAGCAACGCCGCGUGAGCGAAGAAGGUCUUCGGGUCGUAAAGCUCUGUUGUAAGGGAAGAACAAGUGCAGUAGUAACUGGCUGCACCUUGACGGUACCUUACUAGAAAGCCACGGCUAACUACGUGCCAGCAGCCGCGGUAAUACGUAGGUGGCAAGCGUUGUCCGGAAUUAUUGGGCGUAAAGCGCGCGCAGGCGGUCUUUUAAGUCUGAUGUGAAAGCCCCCGGCUUAACCGGGGAGGGUCAUUGGAAACUGGGAGACUUGAGUGCAGGAGAGGGAAGCGGAAUUCCAUGUGUAGCGGUGAAAUGCGUAGAGAUAUGGAGGAACACCAGUGGCGAAGGCGGCUUCCUGGCCUGUAACUGACGCUGAGGCGCGAAAGCGUGGGGAGCAAACAGGAUUAGAUACCCUGGUAGUCCACGGCGUAAACGAUGAGUGCUAAGUGUUUAGGGGGUUCCGCCCCUUAGUGCUGCAGCUAACGCAUUAAGCACUCCGCCUGGGGAGUACGGUCGCAAGACUGAA